UCCGGUUUGUCACCGGCGGUCUCCUUAGAGUUCCCACCAUUACGUGCUGGCAACUAAGGACAAGGGUUGCGCUCGUUGCGGGACUUAACCCAACAUCUCACGGCACGAGCUGACGACAGCCAUGCAGCACCUGUGCUAGCCCCUUUCGGACACGGGCUUUCACCCGCUUUAACUAGCAUGUCAAGCCCUGGUAAGGUUCUUCGCGUCGCGUCGAAUUAAACCACAUGCUCCGCUGCUUGUGCGGGCCCCCGUCAAUUCCUUUGAGUUUUAGCCUUGCGGCCGUACUCCCCAGGCGGAUCACUUAAUGCUUUCGCUUGGACGCGCAUCGCUAGGCGACACACAUCGAGUGAUCAUCGUUUAGGGCGUGGACUAC
rnacentral:misc_RNA from 1 species